rnacentral:rRNA from 1 species
CCCCUAGAUGUUCUGGGCCGCACGCGCGCUACACUGAACAGUUCAACAAGUCUUAACCUUGGCCGAUAGGUCUGGGUAAUCUUUGAACGCUGUUCGUGAUUGGGAUAGACCUUUGCAAUUAUGGGUCUUCAACGAGGAAUUCCUAGUAAACGCAAGUCAUCAGCUUGCAUUGAUUACGUCCCUGCCCUUUGUACACACCGCCCGUCGCACCUACCGAUUGAAUGGUCCGGUGAAAUCUCGGGACGGCGGCUUGGUCGCUUGCGUCCGACUGCUGAAACUUGAUUAAACCAUAUCNUUNNNAGGAAGGUGAAGUCGUAACA